AUGUUCGGGGACGCAGAGAGGAACUCGGGGCUGCCUCUAAAUUACGUGCCACAGACUCGGCGAUGCGGCCCCACGUUGGGAACGCUUGUGAUUGAUUCUCUGCGGCUGGAGGCUGACCCUUCACUCCUGCUCCUCUCCCUUGGACGCUGUGAACCGCAAGCAUCGUUCCCUCCUGACCCAUUUGCGGAGGCAGGCCCUGGCCCUCGGCGUUCCGGAAGCUUCUGCUUGGCUGUGACACUGGACAGCCUGCUGUCUCUGGCUCCUGGGGCUCCGGGGUGGCUUCGUCUUCCUGGUUUCCACCCAGAGGCUGACGCAGAACAACAUGCCCGCCCAGCCAGCGUUCGGGGAAUGAAACCCGCGGCCAUGCUGCAUUCAGGGGCCAGCUGUCCGGCUGGAGAGAAGCGCGAGGAUUUACGGCCAUCGAGGGGCCGGUCAGCAUCCCCGCCCCCUCGCUUUAUGACGCUCAGCUCUGGGAACAACACCACUUCUGAACCGGUGUCAGUUGGCAAGCAGCUUGGCAUGGUCCUGGUGCUGUCUCCUGUCAUCUGGUUGCUAGGAUGCCCAGAGCAGCUCGGACCCCUGCCUCUGCUCGAGGAGGGGUCGCAGGGGCCGGGCAAGCUCAGCAGGUGCUGUGGGACGUGAUGGGCUGUUUGCCUUGUUACACGGGCCCUGAGGCCUGGCAGGACCAUCAAAAGUGAGUCGUGUCCCAUCAAAAGUGAGUCGUGUCCCCCACUGGCUGCAGUAGGCUCUAAACCCAGCGUCCCAAAGAUUUUCUCCACUUUCCCUGGGAAAUGUGGGGCCCAGGUGGAAAAAUCAAACCCUCAGACGCAAGCCUGUGGGCUCCUCCACCGGUUUGGUGGCUGAGGGGCUCUGCUGAUCAAUAAAAUAGGCGGUGGCAUUUCA
rnacentral:lncRNA from 1 species